GACAGAGGGUGCAAACGUUGCUCGGAAUUACUGGGCGUAAAGCGCGUGUAGGCUGACCGGAAAGUCGGGCGUGAAAUCCCUGGGCUCAACCCAGGAACUGCACUCGAAACUCCCGGUCUUGAGUGGUGGAGAGGGAAGUGGAAUUCCUGGUGUAGAGGUGAAAUGCGCAGAUAUCGGGAAGAACACCCGUGGCGAAGGCGGCUCUCUGGGACGGUACUGACGCUGAGACGCGAAAGCGUGGGGAGCGAACGAGG
rnacentral:rRNA from 1 species